ACAAGCGGAGGAGCAUGUGGUUAAUUCGAUGAUACGCGAGGAACCUUACCUGGGCUCGAACGUAAGAUGACUGUAGGUGAAAGCUUACACCUCUUCGGAGCAUUUUACGAGGUGCUGCAUGGUUGUCGUCAGCUCGUGCCGUGAGGUGUCGGGUUAAGUCCCAUAACGAGCGCAACCCUACCUUUAGUUGCCAUCAGGUAAUGCUGGGGACUCUAAAGGAACUGCCUACGCAAGUAGUGAGGAAGGCGGGGAUGACGUCAAAUCAGCACGGCCCUUACGUCCAGGGCUACACACGUGCUACAAUGGCCGAUACAGAGGGCAGCUACCUGGUGACAGGAUGCAAAUCUCCAAAGUCGGUCUCAGUUCGGAUCGGAGUCUGCAACCCGACUCCGUGAAGUUGGAUUCGCUAGUAAUCGCGCAUCAGCCAUGGCGCGGUGAAUACGUUCCCGGGCCUU
rnacentral:rRNA from 1 species